GUGCCCUUCUGAAGUUGAUGUAGUGCUUUAAGAAGCUAACACAGAGGGGUAAAGUAAGCCUAAAAAAACAGAGAAGAGACUGUAAAGCUCCUUUUUUGGAUUCUAUUUGGAGUAACAACU
rfam:Tupaia chinensis contig13600, whole genome shotgun sequence.